CUGAUGCACCUUGUAUUUCGAUUGCUUUGUAUGCUUGAAACAUGUGAAGAAUUGACAAUAAAUAAUCUUUAUCAAGUGUUAUACAUUAAAAAGUGGAUAAGUAACAAAAAUGUCACUCCUGACAGCUGAUAAAUUAAUGUUUUUUUAUAGCACCAUUGAGGCGAGCACUUUUCAAGGCAAGAUUCUUUAUAGAACCUUAUAAAAAGUUUCCAUAUAGUACCAAAAAACGGGUUCUGCUGUGGUUACAUGCUGAGGAACCCUUAUUUGGUACUUUUUAGGAGCAUUUGUCUUAAGAGUGUUGCAUAGGUUCGAAACUUUCAAACUUGAAACCAAAUAGAAGGGUCACACUGUUUUUUUUUUUGUGGAGUGGACAUGAACAAGCUGCAGGCAUUCAAAUGUUAUUUGUAAUUUAUUGUCUUAUUUCAUAUUUAAAAAAUAGCUAUACAACUGGUGUUCCUCAAUUUUAGGGCCUAUUUUGUUUAGUAUAUCAGUUUUGUUCAGUUUUUUAUGUGCAUGCAAAAAGCAAUCAGCAAGCAAAUUAACUGAAGCUUUACCUUCAUGUUCUUUUUGUGUAAGUGAUAACUGUUUCUGUAUGUAUUUUAUGUAUUUGUAUGUUUUUUACACGUAUAGAGUGAAAUGCACACGGUGAGGAAUGGACCCAGACCUUCAGUGCCAGACCUCUGACCCGUUAACCUCCAUCCCGACAGCCAGCGCCUUCUCCGGCUCCCAUUGCGGUAUCGCUUCUCGGCUUUUUGGACAAGAACAAGUGGACACCGGGGACUACAAGUUUAAAUGGAUUUUUGACCUUCGGAAAUGGAAGCGAGGCUUGCUCCGUCCACUCCGUUCAUCGACUCGGGCGCUUUCCGGGCACAAAUAAGUUUGCGGAGGUGAUACCAGGACGAAUUAAACAGCCUCGACACAGCUGAAGGCGCAAGAAAAUCGUACGAGACAGUUUGGGAUGUUAAAAACACCUGAAAACUUUUUUUCCACUACCCUUCAUACUACAGCGGUCGAAAAACCACAGCAACGUCGACACGCCUGGAAGCAUAGCUGUAUUUGUUUAAGACAACGGGUAAAGUAUUUUCUUGAUUACCUAAAUGACUUGCAGUAAGAAAAUAUUUUAAUUUAUAAUGAUAACUCUGUCAUCAUUUAUUCAUCCUCGUGUUGUUUUCAACCUGUAUGCAUUCGUAUUUUGGAGGUGACACGAUGACGACUUAAACAUCAUCGACACAGCUGAAAAAGCGAACGAGACAGAUUGGGAUGUUCAAAACACCUGAAAACUUUUUUUUCACUGUACUACAGCUGUCGAAGAACCACAGCAACGUCGGCAGAUCUGGAAGCAUAGCUGUAUUUGUUUAACUCACAACGACAACGGGUAAGUCAUUGAGCCCUUGUGUUUUUAUUUAUCCACGUUCUAAAAUUGCUAUGCUUUCGUUGUUUCUCGAUUGCUCUGUACAUUUCUUUGUUUCUAUUCCACGUAAAGUUACUUUGUAAUAACGAAACGAUAUAUUGAAAUGCGCUAUUUAAAUCCAUUUGAUUUAAAUUGUUUCACGUUUUUCUCUCUGCACGGUUUAACCGGGCUGGAAACGGAAAAUGGGUAGAUCUCGAAGAAUAUUUGGUUUCAGACCUGGCUUCGUGCGCCUUUCCACCUGGUCACACACAGUAAUGAAAUGGUAGUCGGACGGCCUUCGGGGGCGCCGUCGAUGCGAUCGGUCACAGGAAGAUGCGGCCGUCUGGCCUCAAAGGCUGUUGCUCAUACUUACCUGGCAGGGGAGAUACCAUGAUCAUGAAGGUGGUUCACCCAGGGCGAGGCUCAGCCAUUGCACUCCGGUUGUGCUGACCCUUUGCGAAUUCCCCAAAUGUGGGAAUCUCGACUGCAAAAUUUCUGAUAGUGGGGGACUGCGUUCGCGCUCUCCCCUGGC